rnacentral:misc_RNA from 1 species
GGUUGGGUCUAUCUUUGCUGACAAUGGAAUAAACACAGAAAAUCAAAAAUAACAGUGGCAAAUUCUCCUACGAUAUAAAGUCCAGAGAUAUAUGCAGAGGUCGGCUUAAUCCCUCAUUUUGUCCGCUUAGGCGAGCCACUCUCCAACAUUGUGGUAGGAUCCGGUGAUCGCCGCUUGGGGUUAACUCUCACUGGAGCCUGGUAAUCGCUAGAGCCAAUGAGGUGAGGAAAAUUUAGCUUCGCUUUGGAGCCGCGAAGCUUAAAAGCUGCUUGGUCGUAAGCCAGAGCCGCAUCCUCAGGCGUUUCAUAAGUUCCAAGCCAAACCCUAGCACCAUUUUUCUUCGGGUCUCUUAUCUCCGCUGCGUAUUUCCCCCACGGCCUUCUCCUCACUCCUUUAUACUGCCAUCCUUUAGACUCUGCGUUAUUCUUACGCACCGACACAACUUUUGGAGUAGUGACCACCACACCUUCUG